rnacentral:rRNA from 1 species
AUGGACGGGGGCGGCGGGAUCAUGGCGAGCGCCGCGACGGGGGCGAUGAGCUCCCUGCUCGCCAAGCUGGCCGAGCUGCUGGGGGAGGACUGCUACCAGCACCAGAUGCAGAGAGGCACGCGGCGGGAGGUGGCCUUCCUGCGGGACGAGCUGAGCAGCAUGAACGCGCUCCUCGAGCGGCUGGCCGACGCCGACGCCGCGGCGCCGCUCGACCCGCAGACCAGGGAGUGGAGGGACCAGGUGCGGGAGAUGAGCUACGACGUCGAGGACUGCGUCGACGAGUACAUGGGCCAGCUCCGCCGCCGCUCCGGCGGCGGCGGCGGCGGCGUGGUGGGGCUCAUCCUCGGCUACGUGGGCAGGGUGAGGGAGAUGGUGUCGCGCCGCGGGAUCGCGGAGCAGAUCCAGGAGCUCAGCGCGCGCGUCGUCGAGGCUGGCCACCGCCGGAAGAGGUACAAGAUUGAUGCGGCGGCGGCUAGCCCUAGUGGCGCCGGCGUGGUGCCGGUCGACUGCCGGCUGCCGGCGCUCUACGCGGAGCUGGGGGGCCUUGUCGGCGUCCACGGUCCGAGGGACGAGCUCGUCAGGCUGCUGGACGAUGGAGAAGAGAGGAUGAAAGUGGUGUCAGUUGUGGGGGCUGGAGGAUUAGGCAAGACCACUCUUGCUAAUCAGGUGUACCGAAACAUCAGAGAUCGAUUCGAUUGCAAAUCCUUUGUUUCCUUGUCACAAAAUCCUGACAUUGGGAUGAUCUUCCGAACAAUGCUCUCUCAAGUCAAAAAAGAUGAGUGUGAAAUCACUGGAUCAGGUGACAUGGAGCAGCUCAUCAAUGAAUUGAGGGAUUUCCUACAGGAUAAGAGAUAUUUGAUCGUAAUUGACGACGUAUGGAGCACCCAAGCCUGGAAGAUUAUCAAAUGUGCUUUCGGCGAGAAUACUUGUGGCAGUAGAAUAAUUGUGACAACCAGAAUCGGCACCGUCGCGAAAUCAUGCUCCUCCCCUGAUUGUGAUCUUGUAUAUGAACUGAAGGCGCUGAGUGAGGAUCACUCCAAGAUGUUAUUCUUCAGAAGAAUUUUCGGCUCUGAAGAUAGAUGCCCACAUCAACUCAAGGAAGUUUCAGUUGAAAUUGUAAAGAAAUGUGGUGGUUUACCUUUGGCAAUCAUUACCAUGGCUAGUCUGUUAACCACCAAGUCAGACACAAGAGAAGAGUGGAUGAAGGUUUGUGGUUCGAUUGGUUUUGGACUCGAGAAAAACUCCGAUGUGGAGGAAAUGAACAUGGUACUAUCUCUGAGUUAUAACGAUCUUUCUCAUCAUUUAAGGACCUGCUUAUUGUAUAUGAGUAUGUUUCCUGAAGAUUAUGUGAUCAAGAGGGAUUAUUUGGUAAGAAGGUGGAUAGCAGAAGGGUUCAUCAAGGUUUUUGGAGGCAGGACUAUAGAGGAGGAGGGGGAAUGCUAUUUUAAUGAACUCAUAAACAGAAGCCUGAUCCAAGCGGUGGAUUUUCAAUACGACGGCAGAGUAUAUGCGUGCCGGGUGCAUGAUUUGAUCCUCGAUCUAAUUGUAUCCAAGGCGGUCGAAGAUAAUUUUGUUACUAUAUUUACUGACAAAAGACAAGUACUGCGCCCGCAAGGCAAAGUUCACCGACUCUCAUCUGACUGCACUAAUGCAGAAAAUAUGUUAACAUGUUCCAAGGCUGUUGCUCAUGUUCGAUCCCUCAACAUGUUCAGGUACUCUGGACGAAUGCCUCCUCUUUUGAAUUUCCGGGCUCUAAGAGUGCUAGAUCUAGAUGGCAAUGAGGAUUUGGAAAGCUGCUAUCUUGAAGAUAUAGGGAAAUUGUUUCAGUUGAGAUACCUAAGGAUUCGAGCAAGUAACAACAUUACACUUCCGGAACAAAUAGGAGAGCUGCAGUUAUUGGUGAUAUUGGACCUUCUCAACUGCUAUGGUACAAGCGAACUGCCUGCAAGUAUUGCUAAACUUCGGAAUUUGAAAUGGUUACUUGCUCAUCGCGUCAAAUUGCCUAAUGGAGUCUGCAACAUGCAAGCUCUAGAGUCUGUGUCACUUGUAGUUGUGGACUACACCACCCCGGUAACCGCACUACAAGAGCUGGGCAGCUUGACCAAACUGAGAAACCUUGGAAUGGAUUGGCGCAUCAGUGAUGCAAACAAGGAUAAAAUGACAUACGCAGAUAAUCUUGUUUCAUCGCUUGGCAAACUAGGCACCUCUAACCUUCGAUGUUUAACGCUCAUCAGUCCAUGGUCACUGAGCUUCCUGUUGGAUUCCUGGUGCCCUCGUCCUCACCACCUUCAGGAACUAACAAUCAAAGGUUGGUGUCUCAGAAAGAUCCCAGUGUGGAUGGCCUCACUGGCCAACCUCACCUACCUAGACAUCGAGGUUGAAGUUGUACAGGAAACCCUCGAGGUGCUUGCGGACUUCCCUGUCUUGCAGUUUCUCAAGUCAUACUCAAAUGCAGCAGACCCCCAAGAAAGAUGUCUAGUUGUCAGCAACAAUGGGUUCCGAUGUCUGAAGAAACUGAACUUUGUCCAUUGGACGAAUCUGAUGUUCUUGGAAGGAGCGAUGCCGAUGCUCGAAAGGCUCGAGUUUCAGAUCAUUGUGCAUGAAGUGAAAACUGCAUCUGGAUUUGGUUGUCCUCUUGAUCUUGGCAUCCGCCACCUCUAUGCCCUCAGGAACCUUGCUGUCAACAUCUACUGUGAGUGUGCGAGAGUGGAGGAGGUCGAGGCAUUAGAGGCUGCUAUUCAGGCUGCUGUCAGUAUGCUGCCCAACAGUCCGACACCGACACUACGUAGGUUUCGUGAACCGGAGAUGCUAGCAUCCACACAUUAUUAA